rnacentral:rRNA from 1 species
CCCUUAGAUGUCCUGGGCCGCACGCGCGCUACACUGACCAGUGCAACAAGCAUCCGUCCUUGGCCGACAGGCCCGGGCAAUCUUUGAACGCUGGUCGUGAUGGGGAUAGACUUUUGCAAUUUUUGGUCUUCAACGAGGAAUUCCUAGUAAACGCAAGUCAUCAACUUGCAUUGAUUACGUCCCUGCCCUUUGUACACACCGCCCGUCGCACCUACCGAUUGAAUGGUCCGGUGAAGCCUCCGGAUUGGCGCGCACCUCGGUGCCGCCGAGAAGUUGGCUAAACCUUACCAUUUAGAGGAAGGUGAANUCGUAACA